GCUGCUGGAAUUAUGCUGCAUUUUACAGAUGAGAAAUCUAUAACUUAAACCAGUCAAAUAACAAGUCUGUGACCUUGCAAACUAGGUCUUGAAUCCACAGAAUAUAACCCCAGAGGCUAAAUCUUAACUAUAAUUUCUUACAAAGGUGUUAUCCAGGAAGAAUCAUCCAUACUCCACAAAAUGGUUAAUUGAAGAAUCACUCUACCUGAUAGCAAACAAAUCCUAUUCAGAGGCAAGUAAAAACAAAGUCUUCACCCGCGCCGACCGGUUUAGGCAACUGCACAUGUCUUCAGCUUGACACAGGAGUUUUAUCUAGUUUUGGACUUGUGUGUAUGGUGAGGAUACUUCUCCGUGAAGCCUGUCAUGACUCAGCUACCUGCACAUGAUUAAAAUCAAAGGGAGUUCGUCAGCUCCAGGUAAAUGUUGACUCUUCUGUCUCAUAAAAAAGCACUUAAACAUGAUGAAUGGAAUUAAGGGGUGAAAUGA
rnacentral:lncRNA from 1 species